CCCUUAGAUGUCCUGGGCCGCACGCGCGCUACACUGGUCGAUGCAACGAGUUUCUUUCCUUGGCCGACAGGCCUGGGCAAUCUUUGAACAUCGAUCGUGAUCGGGAUAGAUUCUUGUAAUUUUUGAUCUUAAACGAGGAAUUCCUAGUAAACGCAAGUCAUCAGCUUGCAUUGAUUACGUCCCUGCCCUUUGUACACACCGCCCGUCGCACCUACCGAUUGAAUGGUCCGGUGAAAUCUCCGGACUGGCGUGAGUCGGAGCAAUCUGACAAACACCGGAAAGUUGAUUAAACCUUACCAUUUAGAGGAAGGUGAAGUCGUAACA
rnacentral:rRNA from 1 species